AACCUUUGUCAACUCUGUAUGCGUUUUCUGACUGCCUGUGUAGUCAUCUGACAACUUGAGAAGCAGGAACAAAGCACUGGCAAGGCUGACAAAUCCUGCAGAUGCAGCAAGGAAGCAAAGAAAGCACAAAAGAAGUCUAUAAUGAUCGAAAGCCAAAGGGAAAAGGAAAGGAUCGUGGCCAAAUAGUGUCAAAUACCUGCUCCUCCCAAUAAUUUUAGUAGAGGCUCUCUUGCAAGAUCUGUCAUCAAGCAUAGAAGAUAUUGCUACACCACAAAUCCUGAUGUAUUUUCUACCUGCUUUGAAAGGAUGACACUCCAACAAUGUGUCACUGUAUCUCAGCUGGGAGAUGUAAUUACCUGCAAAGGGACUGUACCUUCUUAAAUUGCCUUUGGCUGCUCCUGAAUAUUUAAAACUGCUGCUCUGUCUCAGUGCAAAGACAAAGAGCGAGAGUAAAAAGAAAGAAAGAAGGAAAGAAAGAAGGAAAGAAAGAAGGAAAGAAAGAAGGAAAGAAAGAAGGAAAGAAAGAAGGAAAGAAAGAAGGAAAGAAAGAAGGAAAGAAAGAAGGAAAGAAGGAAAGAAAGAAGGAAAGAAGGAAAGAAGGAAAGAAGGAAAGAAGGAAAGAAGGAAAGAAGGAAAGAAGGAAAGAAGGAAAGAAGGAAAGAAGGAAAGAAGGAAAGAAGGAAAGAAAAAAAGCACAAUGUUAAAGUCACCUGUUUAUUUUUGGUCCUUUUUAGUUGAAGUCAUUCAUGAGGAAUUAGCACUGUUCCAGCAGCUGUGACCCACACCCAGCCUAUAGCCCAUGGGGGCACCAAGUCUUGUACUCACCCUACUCACUUGAACGACCAGACUUUGGCUCUGCAGAUUUCUUAGGUUCCCAUUUGGCAUGGAGUGGCCUCAUAUGACUCUUCAUUCAACUAUAAAUGUUUAAUUAGCAACAACAACUUAAUUGAAUUUAAAAAAAAAUAAAUGAAUAUUUACAAUCACUGAUUUACA
rnacentral:lncRNA from 1 species